GACAAUGCUGGCUUUCUCAUCAGGGUUUUUGGUCCAGUUCUCAGCUUUGUUAAGGGCACAAGCUGCCACGUGUCAACUCCUCUUGCCAUUGGCACAUACAAGGCAACACACUCCUCUCUUGUGGGUGGUUAAACUCUUCUGCUUUACAUGGUAUUUAUUACACAAUAAGAACACACACACAAACUAUUACUUCGAUCCUCAUGGUGAGCUGUUUCAGUGCUUAAAGCCUGAGGCUGGAUAUGGAAGGCUUCCAACACCACCAGUUACUCACAAACUGCACAUAAGCAUAUCCCUUGCAUUAUGGUUUUGGAAAUAUCCCUCCCUUGGGCUUCUUCAUUAUCAGUUCAAGACAGCAACAAUACAGUCCAGUAUUUGAAUUAGGAAUGCCAGCUUCUGUCUGCUUCUCUGCAGCCAUUCAGCUUUGCCUGAGUUCCAUAGACGGGUUGAAUCCCAAACUGAGUUUUGAGGAAUGCUGCAAACUUUUCCAACAGCACCAAAGUCAAUAAGCUUCCCUUCCCUCCCCACUGUUGUUGUAGCUGCUUUUUAUUGUAUUUGUCAGGGUUUGUUUUUUUCCUUCUGUUGAAUAAUUCAGCUAAUAGGCUUGCACUUGAACACUCGAGAGCUGUGUUCCCUAAUGAGGGAAGCAGCUUGCCAACGUUUGAUGUUUCCAGCCAUUUGACUGCAAACCCAGCACCGUUAACAAAUCACCAUGGAAUAGCCGUGGAAAUACAGAACAAAAUGUUGUUGUCUUAACUUAAGUGGGCAAGGAAGGAAAAAUAAAGAGAAUGAAAGAAACCCAAGCGCUGCAUGGGAAAACAGAGUAUGAAAGUGAAGUGUGCAUGGAAGGAUAUUGUAUUAGAGAUCUCUUUGCAACCUCAUUUUGUCUCAGUAGCUGCAAGCAGGAAAGCUGUAUGGGAGAAAGGACAUUAAUUUAUGGAAGAGAUGUAGUUGCACUAAUUCAGAGGAUGGGUGUAGGUGUAUCUGUUGGCAGCUCUGCUUCUUACCAUGUUUAUGUGAAUAAAGGUUUAUAUAGACAGCUUUUUUUUUUUCUUUGCCAACUUGUUGGGUUUUUUCCCCCAAAGCUGAAUAUUUUAUGGUCCAUGUGACACAGAUGGGAUUUAAAAACAUGAAUAUAUGCAAUAUCUUCUUGAAUAUUGCUUAAUCCCUUUUAAAAUAGCAUUAAGAUCCUAUUGGCUUGAGUUUGUUCAGAUCCAGAUUCACACUGGCAUGUUUCAGACAAACUUUUAGCCUUCCCUGCAUUUGUUCUUUCCUAGAUGCCUGGCUCUGCUUACCAGAGCAGGGCUCAGCAGCGCUGGGUGCCUGAUGAGUUCCGCUUGGGAGGAAAUUGCAAGGUCCUUCAUCUCCUUUGCAGGAUAAUAACUACCAUAGCUUGGGCAUCAGGCAGGAACAUAAGCUGAUGUGGCUCAGAUGAUGCCUUCCACAAGCCAGCAGCUUGCCCGACACCAGAACUCUCCUCCUGAAUCCUUGCCCAGUGAAAUUAUGCAGCUGAACUAAAAUUACACCAAGUGCUGCACCCGAGUUCAAUGGUGUUAUCUUAACUGUGUGAUGUUUUCUGCAACACAUCUCAUCUUGGGUCUUGGGGCCAAAUUCUCAGCAGUGCGUGGAGGAUGGCAUGCUUAAUGUGGCAGAGACUCUUACCUCAAAUAUUGACUUUAAAAACGUGUAUCCAAAAACCUGGCAAUGGUCCCUAUUGUGCUAGGUACUGUAUGAACCUGGCUCCCAGAGAUUGUCCUGAUCUCAGGAUGUGUCUCCUAAUUUCUUCCCCGUUGUGUUGCCAGCACGUACACAAAAUGCAGAGCACUGAGCUGAAUGGUAAAAUUUGGUGCUUCUGAAUUGAGGUAAGCUACCUUAACUGGAAAUUAAAAUCCCAUUCAUCUGGCCUGUAAUUGCUAUGAAAGGGUCCUUUGAAGACACAAGGGUGGAUUAAAUCAAUCUUGCUAUAUGGACAUCCAGGGAACUGCUCCAAAUGAGAGCAGUUAAAGAUGUGAAUUGUUAAUGUUUGUUUGCACUCAAAGCUUGGAGAAGGGAAAUUGAGAUGAACAAAAGUGACAGUGGAAAACCAGUGGAAAACAGACAAAAUGAGUGACUGAUCACACAUGGAGCACUGCUCAAGACGGUCUUCAGGGAAUGCAAAAUGGCAAUUGUUGCUUCUGGAAGGUGGUUCCCCUUUUGUUUGUAUGGAUGCUUCACUGAGCAUACUUCUGUCUGCCUCUUGCUUGUUUAUAAUCUAUCUUCUAUUUUGCAUCAGCCUUGCUCGUUUCUUAGCCCAUCCUUCAGCUACUGGUGGCAGGAGAUAAAAUACCCUUCUGCUUUGCAGAGCAGGGUUAUGUGUGGUAUGAAGCCAGAUGGCUGCCAAGAUGAGCAAUUGAGAGUGCCUGUGUGCUAUUAAUUGCAGCUGCUGUUUUUGCAGUUAGAGGUGAUGGGAGUCCCAGCAGCAGCCAGGAGCAGAUGGAUGAAAAGGGAUAUGUUGUGUGAUAAAAGGGUUAAAAUCCAUUGGGAUGGGGUGUGCUCAGCCCCGGUCUGGGUUUGGGUCAGGCAGGGGGAUCAUAGGAAUGGAUUUUUUCUCACCUGCCCGUAAAGGUGAUGGCAAGGAUCUCACUUAGAUGCAUCAGUGUGAUCCCAUUGUGUAUCACUGAAGCUGAACUGAUUUUCAUUGUUGCUUGCUCUUCCUUGUUUUCCUCUUAGUGCUGCAUUACAUUACUAAAAAUACCUAAACCCAUAUCAUUUACUGAGCUGCUUCCCCUGCUUGUUCUUGUUCCAGGCACAAACAUCCAUGUCGCACUAAACAGCUAUCUCAUCUGCCCAAAUUAAGUCACUGCUUCAAAACAGAACUUCACCUUUAGGGACCUUGUUAUUCUGUAACCCUGGUUUGGCUCCUGCUGCACUAAUGAGAGAUCCAGCACUGAAGUGCCCAGGAGGAGGUGCUGAAGGAAGACAUGGGAUUAGUAUAUUUUCCCUGCCUGUACCCCCCAGCCUUUGGCAAUCGGCAGCUUAAGGACUUCAUGAACUGGAGGUGUGCUGUGCAGCCCACAAAAGGCAGAGGCUGAACAGCCCCUAUUUUUCCAGCCUGUGGCUAUUAAGGAAUUGCUAAUGAGGGGGGAGAAUGGCUACGUAGCAUCAGCCAUCAUGAAUUAACGAAGA